rnacentral:sRNA from 1 species
UCCAGUCCCAAUGAAACGAAGUACAUCAUCUCUCUGGACCAGGAUUCUGUGGUGAAGCUGGAGAAUUGGACAGAUGCAUCACGGGUGGAUGGCGUUGUUUUAGAAAAAGUGCAGGAGGAUGAGUUCCGCUAUCGAAUGUACCAGACUCAGGUCUCAGACGCAGGGCUGUACCGCUGCAUGGUGACAGCCUGGUCUCCUGUCAGGGGCAGCCUUUGGCGAGAAGCAGCAACCAGUCUCUCCAAUCCUAUUGAGAUAGACUUCCAAACCUCAGGUCCUAUAUUUAAUGCUUCUGUGCAUUCAGACACACCAUCAGUCAUUCGGGGAGAUCUGAUCAAAUUGUUCUGUAUCAUCACUGUCGAGGGAGCAGCACUGGAUCCAGGUACCUCACUACAUCCUCACCCCUUCACCAUGUUGCUUUCUGUAAAUGUUUCUCAUAUCAUCCGCACUGUGUUACACAGAUGUGGGUUAGGGAUAGGAUUAUCUAUUUAUCCCCUAACUGUCUGGCCCAGUACUUUGUACUCAUUAAGUGUUUAAUAAAUACAUGUUGAGUGGA